rnacentral:rRNA from 1 species
CCUACGGGAGGCAGCAGUGGGGAAUAUUGCACAAUGGGGGAAACCCUGAUGCAGCGAUGCCGCGUGGAGGAAGAAGGUUUUCGGAUUGUAAACUCCUUUUAUCAGGGAAGAAAAUGACGGUACCUGACUAAGAAGCCCCGGCUAACUACGUGCCAGCAGCCGCGGUAAUACGUAGGGGGCAAGCGUUAUCCGGAUUUACUGGGUGUAAAGGGAGCGUAGACGGCAGCGCAAGUCUGAAGGGAAAUCCCAUGGCUUAACCAUGGAACUGCUUUGGAAACUGUGCAGCUGGAGUGCAGGAGAGGUAAGCGGAAUUCCUAGUGUAGCGGUGAAAUGCGUAGAUAUUAGGAGGAACACCAGUGGCGAAGGCGGCUUACUGGACUGUAACUGACGUUGAGGCUCGAAAGCGUGGGGAGCAAACAGGAUUAGAUACCCUUGUAGUC